UACGUAGGGUGCGAGCGUUGUCCGGAAUUACUGGGCGUAAAGAGCUCGUAGGUGGUUUGUCGCGUUGUUCGUGAAAACCGGGGGCUUAACCCUCGGCGUGCGGGCGAUGCGGGCAGACUUGAGUACUGCAGGGGAGACUGGAAUUCCUGGUGUAGCGGUGGAAUGCGCAGAUAUCAGGAGGAACACCGGUGGCGAAGGCGGGUCUCUGGGCAGUAACUGACGCUGAGGAGCGAAAGCGUGGGGAGCGAACAGG
rnacentral:rRNA from 1 species